GCUGGGCGGAUUAGUGGCGAACGGGUGAGUAAUACGUGAGUAACCUGCCCUUGACUCUGGGAUAAGCCUGGGAAACUGGGUCUAAUACUGGAUACUACGUCCCAUCGCAUGGUGGGGGGUGGAAAGGGUUUUACUGGUUUUGGAUGGGCUCACGGCCUAUCAGCUUGUUGGUGGGGUAAUGGCUCACCAAGGCGACGACGGGUAGCCGGCCUGAGAGGGUGACCGGCCACACUGGGACUGAGACACGGCCCAGACUCCUACGGGAGGCAGCAGUGGGGAAUAUUGCACAAUGGGCGGAAGCCUGAUGCAGCGACGCCGCGUGAGGGAUGACGGCCUUCGGGUUGUAAACCUCUUUCAGUAGGGAAGAAGCGAGAGUGACGGUACCUGCAGAAGAAGCGCCGGCUAACUACGUGCCAGCAGCCGCGGUAAUACGUAGGGCGCAAGCGUUGUCCGGAAUUAUUGGGCGUAAAGAGCUCGUAGGCGGUUUGUCGCGUCUGCUGUGAAAGCCCGGGGCUCAACCCCGGGUCUGCAGUGGGUACGGGCAGACUAGAGUGCAGUAGGGGAGACUGGAAUUCCUGGUGUAGCGGUGAAAUGCGCAGAUAUCAGGAGGAACACCGAUGGCGAAGGCAGGUCUCUGGGCUGUUACUGACGCUGAGGAGCG
rnacentral:rRNA from 1 species